rnacentral:rRNA from 1 species
UACAGAGGUCUCGAGCGUUAGGCGGAAUCACUGGGCUUAAAGCGUGUGUAGGCGGAUCGUUAAGUGCCUUGUGAAAUCCCACGGCUUAACCGUGGAACUGCUUGGCAUACUGGCGGUCUUGAGCAACCUAGGGGCGAGCGGAACAAAUGGUGGAGCGGUGAAAUGCGUUGAUAUCGGCAGGAACUCCGGUGGCGAAGGCGAGAUGCUUGAUCUUUUCUGACGCUGAGGCGCGAAAGCCAGGGGAGCAAACGGG